GCCAGCAUGGUGCAGUGGUUUGAGCACUGGACUAUGACUCUGGAGACCAGGGUUCAACUCCCUGCUCAGCCA
rnacentral:tRNA from 1 species